rnacentral:rRNA from 1 species
AGAGUUUGAUCCUGGCUCAGGAUGAACGCUGGCGGUAUGCUUAACACGUGCAAGUCGGACGGGAAGUGGUGUUUCCAGUGGCAGACGGGUGAGUAACGCGUAAGAACCUGCCCUUGGGAGGGGGACAAUAGCUGGAAAUGACUGCUAAUACCCCAUAGGCUGAGGAGAAAAAGGGGGAAUCUGCCCAAGGAGGGGCUCGCGUCUGAUUAGUUAGUUGGUGAGGCAAUGGCUUACCAAGGCGACGAUCAGUAGCUGGUCUGAGAGGAUGAUCAACCACGCUGGGACUGAGACAUGGCCCAGACUCCUACGGGAGGAAGCAGUGGGGAAUUUUCUGCAAUGGGCGACAGCCUGAUGGAGCAAUGCCGCGUGAAGGCAAAAGGCCCACGAGUCAUGAACUUCUUUUCUCGGAGAAGAAAAAUGACGGUCUCUGAGGAAUAAGCAUCAGCUAAAUCUGUGCCAGCAGCCGCGGUAAU